CAGUCAUACCAACGGGAAAUCAACCUAUUGAGCUUGGUCUCGUGGGUUUUGAAGAGUUUCAAAGCCUUCGGAUUCGCGGGAUUGGGGAUCUCUUGGUGUACUUUUUUCGUACAGUUAGUCAACAUCGGUUUUGAAUGUCAUAAAAUGAUUGGGGGAAUGUAGCUUCGAUCUUGUAUUGAAGUGUUAUAGCCUUUGGUAGAUGUGGUGUUUGAGACCCGAGGAUUGCAACGGAUACCCCUUCAGGGCUAUUCGUCUGAUCUCUGAUACGUUGCCUUGAUGUUGAAAGCUUGCUUACGGUUAUCAAAGUCGAUGGUCAAUAGGUUAGAAUGGGUUAAAUUCGUUAAGGAUGUUGACG
rnacentral:rRNA from 1 species